rnacentral:rRNA from 1 species
GACGAACGCUGGCGGCGUGCUUAAUACAUGCAAGUCGAGCGCGGUAAGUAAAGAAGUUUACUUUUUACUUACUGAGCGGCGGACGGGUGAGUAACGCGUGGGCAACCUACCUUCUAGCCCGGGAUAACAGAGCGAAAGAGCUGCUAAGACCGGAUAAGCUUCCGAGCAGGCAUCUGCAGGGGAGAAAAAGCAAUGCUAGAAGAUGGGCCCGCGUCCCAUUAGCUAGUUGGUGAGGUAACGGCCCACCAAGGCGACGAUGGGUAGCCGACCUGAGAGGGUGAACGGCCACACUGGGACUGAGACACGGCCCAGACUCCUACGGGAGGCAG